GAUGAACGCUGGCGGCGUGCCUAAUACAUGCAAGUCGAGCGAACAGACGAGGAGCUUGCUCCUCUGACGUUAGCGGCGGACGGGUGAGUAACACGUGGAUAACCUACCUAUAAGACUGGGAUAACUUCGGGAAACCGGAGCUAAUCCCGGAUAAUAUAUUGAACCGCAUGGUUCAUUAGUGAAAGACGGUUUUGCUGUCACUUAUAGAUGGAUCCGCGCCGCAUUAGCUAGUUGUUAAGGUAACGGCUUACCAAGGCAAGCAUGCGUAGCCGACCUGAGAGAGUGAUAGGCCACACUGGAACUGAGACACGGUCCAGACUCCUACGGGAGGCAGCAGUAGGGAAUCUUCCGCAAUGGGCGAAAGCCUAACGGAGCAACGCCGCGUGAGUGAUGAAGGUCUUCGGAUCGUAAAACUCUGUUAUUAGGGAAGAACAAAUGUGUAAGUAACUAUGCACGUCUUGACGGUACCUAAUCAGAAAGCCACGGCUAACUACGUG
rnacentral:rRNA from 1 species